UACGUAGGCAGCGAGCGUUGUUCGGAGUUACUGGGCGUAAAGAGUGCGUAGGCGGUUUUCUAAGUUUGGUGUGAAAUCUCCCGGCUCAACUGGGAGGGUGCGCCGAAGACUGGAAGGCUUGAGUAUGGGAGAGGUAAGCGGAAUUCCUGGUGUAGCGGUGAAAUGCGUAGAUAUCAGGAGGAACACCUGCGGUGUAGACGGCUCACUGGCCCGGUACUGACGCUGAGGUGCGAAAGCGUGGGGAGCAAACAGG
rnacentral:rRNA from 1 species